ACGAACGUUGGCGGCGUGCUUAACACAUGCAGGUCGAACGGAAAGGCCCUGCUUGCAGGGUACUCGAGUGGCGAACGGGUGAGUAACACGUGGGUGAUCUGCCCUGCACUUCGGGAUAAGCCUGGGAAACUGGGUCUAAUACCGGAUAGGAGCCAUUUUUAGUGUGAUGGUUGGAAAGUUUUUUCGGUGUAGGAUGAGCUCGCGGCCUAUCAGCUUGUUGGUGGGGUAAUGGCCUACCAAGGCGGCGACGGGUAGCCGGCCUGAGAGGGUGGACGGCCACAUUGGGACUGAGAUACGGCCCAGACUCCUACGGGAGGCAGCAGUGGGGAAUAUUGCACAAUGGGCGCAAGCCUGAUGCAGCGACGCCGCGUGGGGGAUGACGGCCUUCGGGUUGUAAACUCCUUUCGCUAGGGACGAAGCUUUUUGUGACGGUACCGAGAUAAGAAGCACCGGCUAACUACGU
rnacentral:rRNA from 1 species